GUCUUGGUGGAAUUAAUGAAGAAAUUAAUGAUGCUCCUGGAAGACAAGGACCACAACGCUCUUGCCUGGAGAACUCAGACUAGAAAGAUGAGAUGUGAAGAGUUAUACAGCUGA
rnacentral:lncRNA from 1 species